GCACCUGGUGUUAUUGUCGCAGUGGCCCUCUCCGGUCUCCGUAACUUGAUCUUUCAUUCACUCCAGUUUAACAGUAUCACUAAAUCUGCUCUUUUGCUCUUCACUCGUUUCUUUUGCGUGAGAAACUUUGGUGACCUUUACCUCCAAUCCCAAGUCCCAACAACAGUUUAUUUUGGAGCUAUAUUCUGCACUAUGAUUCCAUUUAAUGCUACGGUAUGUAUUGGAAUAUCAUAAUAUUAAUGAUUAAUGAACAGUGUAUUUUUGAGUGCAGCUACUGUAUAUCUCAUAUAUAGUUUAAAGGGUAACUUCUAUUAAUGAAAAAGGGUGUAUUAAAAACUAUACCAUCCUAGACUGGAUGGCAUGAUUAAUCUCUUUUGAUUUUUUUUUCAGGUAAUUGCCACCCUUACCUUUUUUGUGAAACAAAGAAAGAAAACUAAAAAAAGAAAACAUUUACUGACUGUCUUUGAGCUGAUGUCUUAUGUCAAAGACAAGGCUUUACUCAUUAUUGGCAAAGCCAGUCACAAGUCAAUUAACCAUCGUGUCCACGCUAAUAGGGUUUACUUAGCAGAGUUUGAGGAUGUCAUGGAUGAACUGUUGUUUCAUCUCUACACUAUGUCAGACAGUCUCCACAACACCCUGCCGGCAAAAGAAAAUCUAUUUGAAACCCAGACUAAUUUCUCUGUGCCGCUUUCUGGGCAUGUUUAUAGCUCAGACUCAGAGGUGAUUGUUUCCCUUUUGCACAGAACUCAAGUUAUUCAAGCUGUAUUGUACAAGCACAUAUUUAUGCAACUUAUGCAUGUAUUUUGCUAUAUUUAUACAGUAUUAGUAAUGUAUCUGAAUAAUAUGUCAGUAUUAGUAAUGAUGUCUGAAGCACCAGUUUAUAAAAGUGAAAAAGGUUAUCUAAUAAAAUGUAUAUUAUAUUAAAAGAAUAGUUCACCCAAUAUGAAAACUUGUUUGAAAAUGUACUCACCCUCAAGCCAACCAAGAUGUAGUUCAGUUUGUUUCUUCAUCAGAAUAGAUUUGGAGUGAUUUAGCACUACAUCACUUGAUCACCAAUGGAUCCUCUGCAGUGAAUGGGUGCCAUCAGGAUAAGUGUCCAACCGGCUGAUAAAAUCAUCACAAUAAUCCAUAAGUAAACCACAUGCCAUAUGCCAAGUCUAUCUAUUAAUAGCUUGUGAAGUGAAAAAAAUUCAAGUCAUUUUAACUUUAAGCCAUUGGUACUGGCCAAAGUUUCUCCAAAUCUGUUCAGAUAAAAAAA
rnacentral:lncRNA from 1 species